AAGUAGAACGCUGAAGGAGGAGCUUGCUUCUCCGGAUGAGUUGCGAACGGGUGAGUAACGCGUAGGUAACCUGCCUGGUAGCGGGGGAUAACUAUUGGAAACGAUAGCUAAUACCGCAUAAUAGUAGAUGUUGCAUGACAUUUGCUUAAAAGGUGCAAUUGCAUCACUACCAGAUGGACCUGCGUUGUAUUAGCUAGUUGGUGGGGUAACGGCUCACCAAGGCGACGAUACAUAGCCGACCUGAGAGGGUGAUCGGCCACACUGGGACUGAGACACGGCCCAGACUCCUACGGGAGGCAGCAGUAGGGAAUCUUCGGCAAUGGACGGAAGUCUGACCGAGCAACGCCGCGUGAGUGAAGAAGGUUUUCGGAUCGUAAAGCUCUGUUGUAAGAGAAGAACGAGUGUGAGAGUGGAAAGUUCACACUGUGACGGUAUCUUACCAGAAAGGGACGGCUAACUACGUGCCA
rnacentral:rRNA from 1 species